AUGCACAUCUGCACGGGCUGCACCAGAGCCUUCUGCACGUUGAACAAAGGUUUCGCCUCCAUCUUCCCAGGCGCGGAGGGGCUGCUCAUUCUCCUCUCUCUCUCUGCCGCCGCUCCUCUUGCAGGAGGGGCUCCAGGCCAGGCAGGGAAGCAGACCGGAGAUCUCUCCCUGCUCGAUUUUUCUCAGCGCAUCUUGCCAACAGCCUCCGCCGCUGCUGCUGCUGCUGCUCCGAGCGCCCUUAUUUCCUUCCUCGCAAAUCAAAGGGCUGCCAGGAGCCGCACCGCGAGGCUGUGUGCGCGCGUGUGUGAGCGAGCGCGCCUGUGUGCGUGUGCGUGUGUGCAGCGGGCGAUGCUCCCGUGGCCGGAGGAGCAGCCCUUUGGGAGCAGCAGCCCUUUGGGAGCAUGCCUCGGCACGCCGCCUCGCCAGCCGCUCCUUGCUCGCUCUCCCAGCGAUGCCGGUGCCGGCUCCCACCUCGCUGCAAGCCUCAUCUGCAUGCGCGGCACUCGCGGAUCCCGCGCAUUGUCCCCGAGACACAACAGGUCCUGCCUGCCGUGGAUUCCUGCCUGCGAUCAGGCUGGGUCCGCAGAGGCUACAGUUUUUCCCUCCGGCUGUUGUGGCAGGCAAACAGGCAGAGCUGGAAGGAUGAGAGGGUGUGAGGCAGGGAGCAUGCCUGAUCCGGGUGGGAGCCUCCCCUUUUCUUGCCUUCUCCUCUUCCAUCCCCGCUUCCCAUUGUCGGAGGCAGGUUCAGAUCAACACCUUCCUGCACUCCCAGGGCCACGGCGAGGCUCAAUAAUUCACCCCCAGAGAAAGGCUGGGAGCCCGAUGGCACUGGAAACGCAGCGCGGCACCGAACAAAGACAGCGAGCACUGGAGAUUUGGGGUCAGUCCCGCGUGGGAAGUUUCACCCAGGCGAGCACGGCACCUGCUGCCUUCUGCACCCCAGGGAGCCCACAGCUCCAAAAAGGAGUUCAGCUGGAGGGAGAGCGGCACACUGGGGUGUUUUAG
rnacentral:lncRNA from 1 species